UGUAGAGACAAGGUCUGCUUUGUUGCCCGGGCUGGUCUCCAGCGAGCCUCUCACCUUAGUGUCUCAAUGUACAGGAGUUACAGGCAGGAGCCGCUGCUCCCACCCUAAAUACUUUAACUUUACGUAAUGGCUAGGCUUAAAAGCCAGUUUGCAGAAGUCUUGAAAAUGUAACCACUGGCUCUCACAAGCCACUGUGAGCCUUCUGUGGCACAUCACGGGUUCCUGGUCAUUGCUCAAAACAAACGAAAUAUUUCCCCAAACAAAACUCUCUUUGGCUAGGCUCUGUUGCCACAAGAGGGCACCAUGAGUUGAUAUCAGAUUCUAGGAAGCAUUUUGGACAAAUUCUGACUAGAAGGGUCAUGUCAAGAUGUAUGUUUGAGUCUGUCCAAAGAUUGUUAAUUCUGGGAGUCCUUGGGGGAACUCAUGGGUUCACACCAUUCUGUUUCACAGCAUAAACACGGAUCCAUUCCUACUGCCAAAUAGCUUUGUCCUCUGGGCCUGAAUGUGUUUGGUCUUCAAACUAGCAAAUGAAAAAAAUCCUGCUAGGUGUUAAGGCUUGUCACGUGUUCAGGGUGAGGAAGGAGAGGAUUUGAGUACUGAGUAUACCUUCAACAUGUCAGGCACGUUACCUGCUUCUCCUGUAAUCCUAAAAUGACACCUUAGGAACCAGCUGACACCUUAGAGAAAUUGGUAGACUGUCAGUUAUGUGACUCAUGCCUGCUACGGUAACCCUGUGGGGAGGGGGCUUAUCAUUUGUAUUGCAAUAAUUUAUAUAUUUAAAUUCCCAUGAGGAAAAUUAGGAGUAUGUCAUGGGCCCGACGACUCAUCUAAGAAGGGAAGCAAUCCUUUAUUUUUCCCUCUGGCUGGGCCAAGAGCUUCAGUUUUGGGGGAAUGGGUCUAUAUUUUCUCAGGGUCUUACUGUGGAGUUUGUAUGAGGGUUGGCCAGAAUGUAUGCUGGCAGGGGUCAGGGAGACCCUGGAUAAUCAAGAGAUACACUGAGUUUCUAGGGUUUACUUUUUCUUUUCUGUUUCUUCCUUUGCCACUCCCUGAACUGCUGCAGGUGAUUAGGGAGAGCACGGGGCGGGGCGGGGCUGGGCGCAGGACUUGGAUCUGACCCCGUGCUGCCUUGGUGAUGCCGGACUUACUGUCUCUGCCGCCAGGUGAGCCCACUCAGGAGGAGGACGCUGAUCAGCAGGAAAACACAGCCAGCCACUGUCAACAGAGAGAGGGAGUUCAGCGAAGGGCCCUGAGCUUGGCGUGAGGAGGAGCAGCAGGAGCCAGGGCUACAGGGCGGGCUGAGGACAUCCCCAAAGAGCAAGGCGGAGGCUGCAGCCUCUCUUCUCUGUCUCAGGAGGAAUUCCGAAUGCAGUUGAAAGGCAACACUCUGUGAGAGCUUUUGCUUUGUCUGGCUGAGACCUUGGCAAUCACAAGUGACAGUGAUGGAGGGCCACCUCCUCUGGACUGCAUCACAGAACAGGUCUGGGAGAAAGGUGGGUACGAAUGAAUGGCCCUGGACAGUGCUUCUCUUUCCACUGUGAGGUUUCCCAUUCAAUGGAUUGCUAAAGAUUCAACUUCUCUGUCUCUUCGUGUACCUGCUAGAAAGGGAAAGGCCAGCCAUUUGUCGUCCUCCUGCCAUACAUGACCAGAACGACCUAGCCCCGGACAAACAGUGACAGAUACAGGGAUUCAAGCCAGCUUUUCUGACUCCGAGACACCUGCUCUCUCCUUUCGAGUGUGACACUCUGCUCUCAAUCACUUAUCGCUCUUUCCAGAAGGACAAAUGUGCGGCCUCUACGUAUUGGAUUUCAAAUAAAAGAUGAGGAACUUGG